UCGGGAAUAUUGCACAAUGGAGGAAACUCUGAUGCAGUGACACCGCGUAUAGGAAGAAGGUUUUCGGAUUGUAAACUAUUUUAGACAGGGAAGAAAAAAGACAGUACCUGUAGAAUAAGCUCCGGCUAACUACGUGCCAGCAGCCGCGGUAAUACGUAGGGAGCAAGCGUUAUCCGGAAUUAUUGGGUGUAAAGGGUGCGUAGACGGGACAGCAAGUUAGUUGUGAAAGCCCUCGGCUUAACUGAGGAACUGCAACUAAAACUAUUGUUCUUGAGUGCAGGAGAGGAAAGCGGAAUUCCUAGUGUAGCGGUGAAAUGCGUAGAUAUUAGGAGGAACACCAGUGGCGAAGGCGGCUUUCUGGACUGUAACUGACGUUGAGGCACGAAAGUGUGGGGAGCAAACAGGAUUAGAUACC
rnacentral:rRNA from 1 species